UACGUAGGGUGCAAGCGUUAAUCGGAAUUACUGGGCGUAAAGCGUGCGCAGGCGGUUAUGUAAGACAGAUGUGAAAUGCCCGGGCUUAACCUGGGAACUGCAUUUGUGACUGCAUGGCUAGAGUGUGUCAGAGGGGGGUAGAAUUCCACGUGUAGCAGUGAAAUGCGUAGAUAUCAGGAGGAACAUCGAUGGCGAAGGCAGCCCCUUGGACCUGUACUGACGCUCAUGCACGAAAGCGUGGGGAGCAAACAGG
rnacentral:rRNA from 1 species